GCUGGAAGAAUAUAUCUACAAAAUAAUGAAAUUAGUGAGAACAUGUCUAUAAAAUAAGGAAAUCAAUAAAAAAUUAUACAAAAAAUCAAUGAUAAAAUAAGAGUAGAUCUACAAAAUAAACCAAAAAAUCAAUAAAAUGUACUAAACAUCAAAUCUACAAAAUAAAUACAAAAAUGCAUUUUAAAGAGGAUGAUUGAAAGAGAAAGAAAAAUGAUGAUAAAUAAGAGACAGAAUGAAAUGAAUCUGGAGAAAAAGAUUGUUGAGAGAAAAACAAAUGUUAGAAGAGAGAGACAUAGACCUUAAUGACAAUUCAAAAUAGAAUUUAAGAUGUAUCCAUAAAAAUGCAAUAAUUAUUUAUUAAAUGCAAUGAUUGUCAAGAAAAGACAAAUAUAGUGUGAGAAGCUACACAUGAUUACCAUGAAACCAUUCAUGAGGAGAAAAAAUGAAGGAGAGGAUGACAUGUGACAUUUGAUGAAGUGGCGUGGAGGAGGAUAUGCCAUGUCACAAUUGAUGAGGUGGUAGGAGUUUAUUUUAUUAAAUAGUAAAUAGAUAGAUUGGUUAAAUAAAAAACUUAGACAGUUCAAAUGCUCCAGAGAGCAACAAAUUUUUAUAACAGUCUCCUAAUGCUAAACCUUUGUCUCCCUUGCUUCUUCUAUUAGAAUAUUGAUGAUCUUCUCUAGCUGUCUUCUUUGAGCAUAUUCCAAGUAAUAGAAUUUGUUUCAUCUCCA
rnacentral:lncRNA from 1 species